rfam:Aedes albopictus isolate Foshan contig70140, whole genome shotgun sequence.
UGUUCUGUGGCUUAGUUGGUUAAAGCGUUGUUCUAGCGAAUACGGAGUUGUGGGUUCGAAUGCCACCAGAACGC